GCUCUUUUGCUGACGAGUGGCGCACGGGUGCGUAACGCGUAUACAAUCUACCUUUUACAGGGGUAUAGCCUUUAGAAAUGAAGAUUAACACCCCAUAGUAUCUAUAUAUCUCAUGGUAUUUAGAUUAAAACUUCGGUGGUAAAAGAUGAGUAUGCGUUCUAUUAGCUAGAUGGUAAGGUAACGGCUUACCAUGGCGACGAUAGAUAGGGGCCCUGAGAGGGGGAUCCCCCACACUGGUACUGAGACACGGACCAGACUCCUACGGGAGGCAGCAGUGAGGAACAUUGGACAAUGGGCGAGAGCCUGAUCCAGCCAUGCCGCGUGCAGGAUGACUGCCCUAUGGGUUGUAAACUGCUUUUAUAUAGGAAGAAACCUUUCCACGUGUGGAAAGCUGACGGUACUAUAAGAAUAAGGACCGGCUAACUCCGUGCCAGCAACCGCGGUAAUACGGAGG
rnacentral:rRNA from 1 species